GAUGAACGCUGACAGAAUGCUUAACACAUGCAAGUCUUUGGCGAAGCUGUGCUCGCCCAGCCUAGCCAAGGCGGACGGGUGAGUAACGCGUAAGGAACUUGCCCUGCAGUCAGGGAUAACAGACGGAAACGACUGAUAAGACCUGGUAAAGUCAGGCAGACUCAUGUCCAGCCUGAUGAAAAGAGAUGCUGCAGGAGAGCCUUGCGUCCUAUUAGCUUGUUGGUGGGGUAACGGCCCACCAAGGCGAUGAUAGGUAGCCGGCCUGAGAGGGUGGACGGCCACAAGGGGACUGAGAUACGGCACUUACUCCUACGGGAGGCAGCAGUGGGGAAUAUUGGACAAUGGGGGCAACCCUGAUCCAGCAAUUCUGUGUGCACGAUGAAGGUUUUCGGAUUGUAAAGUGCUUUCAGCAGGGAAGAAAAAAAUGACGGUACCUGCAGAAGAAGCGACGGCUAAAUACGUG
rnacentral:rRNA from 1 species